rnacentral:rRNA from 1 species
GACGAACGCUGGCGGCGUGCUUAACACAUGCAAGUCGAACGAAGAGCGAUGGAAGCUUGCUUCUAUCAAUCUUAGUGGCGCACGGGUGAGUAACGCGUAAUCAACCUGCCCUUCAGAGGGGGACAACAGUUGGAAACGACUGCUAAUACCGCAUACGAUCUAAUCUCGGCAUCGAGGAUAGAUUAAAGGUUGCCUCUACAUGUAAGCUCUCACUGGAGGAAGGGAUUGCGUCUGAUUAGCUCGUUGGAGGGGUAACGGCCCACCAAGGCGAUGAUCAGUAGCCGGUCUGAGAGGAUGGACGGCCACAUUGGGACUGAGACACGGCCCAGACUCCUACGGGGGGCAGCAGUGGGGAAUCUUCCGAAAUGGAGGAAAGUCUGGAGGAGCAACGCCGCGUGAGUGAUGACGGCCUUCGGGUUGUAAAGCUCUGUUAAUCGGGACGAAAGGCCUUCUUGCGAAUAGUGAGAAGGAUUGACGGUACCGGAAUAGAAAGCCACGGCUAACUACGUG